rnacentral:rRNA from 1 species
AGAGUUUGAUCCUGGCUCAGGAUGAACGCUAAGGCUUAACACAUGCAAGUCGAACGGCAGCGGACCUUCGGGUGCCGGCGAGUGGCGAACGGGUGAGUAAAGUAUCGGAACGUACCUUUCAGUGGGGGAUAACGUAGCGAAAGUUACGCUAAUACCGCAUAUUCUCUGAGGAGGAAAGCAGGGGACCUUCGGGCCUUGCGCUGAUUGAGCGGCCGAUAUCAGAUUAGCUAGUUGGUGGGGUAAAGGCCUACCAAGGCGACGAUCUGUAGCGGGUCUGAGAGGAUGAUCCGCCACACUGGAACUGAGACACGGUCCAGACUCCUACGGGAGGCAGCAGUGGGGAAUUUUGGACAAUGGGCGCAAGCCUGAUCCAGCCAUGCCGCGUGAGUGAAGAAGGCCUUCGGGUUGUAAAGCUCUUUCGGCCGGGAAGAAAUCGCAUCGGUUAAUACCCGAUGUGGAUGACGGUACCGGAAUAAGAAGCACCGGCUAACUACGUACCAGCAGCCGCGGUAAUACAUAGGGUGCGAGCGUUAAUCGGAAUUACUGGGCGUAAAGCGUGCGCAGGCGGUUUUGUAAGACAGGCGUGAAAUCCCCGGGCUCAACCUGGGAACUGCGCUUGUGACUGCAAGGCUAGAGUAUGGCAGAGGGGGGUGGAAUUCCACGUGUAGCAGUGAAAUGCGUAGAGAUGUGGAGGAACACCGAUGGCGAAGGCAGCCCCCUGGGCCAAUACUGACGCUCAUGCACGAAAGCGUGGGUAGCAAACAGGAUUAGAUACCCUGGUAGUCCACGCCCUAAACGAUGUCAACUAGGUGUUGGGAGGGUAAAACCUUUUAGUACCGGAGCUAACGCGUGAAGUUGACCGCCUGGGGAGUACGGCCGCAAGGGUUAAAACUCAAAGGAAUUGACGGGGACCCGCACAAGCGGUGGAUGAUGUGGAUUAAUUCGAUGCACGCGAAAA